AUGGCACCUGACCACGGCUACAAAGUGGCGAAAGGUCUUCUUCAGGAACACUUUGGCAAUCCAUAUAAGGUCGCCAUAGCUUAUAUGAAAAUGGUAUUGGCCUGGCAAGUGGUUAAGGCUGAGGAUUUGAGAGCACUGCAAGACUAUUCCUUGUUUUUACGUGGUUGCUGCAAUGUAAUGGGGGAGCUUCAUUAUGUGCAGGAACUGGACAUGCCAGUCAAUAUGAGGACCAUUAUCUCCAAGCUACCAUAUAAAAUGAGAGAGCAAUGGAGAACUACAGCUCAUGACAUCAUGGAAAGUUCUCAUGACCGAGCCCACAUUAAUGACUUGGUCGAAUUUAUUGAACGCCAGGUCAAAAUCCUUUCGGACCCUCUGUUUGGCGACAUACAGGAUCCACAUACUUCCUUGCUACCAAAGCCUCCUUCAAGGUUUAAUUCACAGCCCAGGAGCUAUGUAAGGGGUAACAUUGUUGCUGCUGCUGUGACUGAAGAGUUGUUUGAGGAUGCAAAGGAGCAGCCAUUGGGUAUAGAGCACACUGAGGAAGAUAAGUGCCUUUGGUGUGAUCGUCGCCAUCUUGUGGAGGAGUGUAAGCAGUUUAAAGGUAAAAUGCAUAAGGAGAAGAUCCUCUUCCUGAGACAAAAGGGAGUUUGUUUUGCAUGUCUACAUGCCAGUCACAUGAGCAGGGACUGUGAGGAUCGCUUGGCAUGUAAAAUUUGUGGACAAUCUCACCCUACUGUACUACAUAUUAAAAGACAAGUGACUCAGGAACAGUUAACAGCUUCACCUGGCCAGCAACAGUCCUCUCCUCAAACAUGCAGACAUAUAGGGGCCGGUAAGGACCAGAGUGUGUUAGCCAUCCUUCCUGUUAAAGUGAAGUCGGCGAAGGGAAGCUAUGUAAUUACAACCUAUGCUUUUUUAGAUCCGGGAAGUUCAGCCACAUUCUGCUCUGAAAAUCUGAUGCGGAAGUUGAACAUCACAGGCAAAGCAACAAGUUUCAUGUUGCGCACAAUGGGGCAAGAAAGGGUCGUUUCAGCAUUCUCUUUGUCA
rnacentral:lncRNA from 1 species